rnacentral:rRNA from 1 species
GUUAAGCGACUAAGCGUACACGGUGGAUGCCCUGGCAGUCAGAGGCGAUGAAGGACGUGCUAAUCUGCGAUAAGCGUCGGUAAGGUGAUAUGAACCGUUAUAACCGGCGAUUUCCGAAUGGGGAAACCCAGUGUGAUUCGUCACACUAUCAUUAACUGAAUCCAUAGGUUAAUGAGGCGAACCGGGGGAACUGAAACAUCUAAGUACCCCGAGGAAAAGAAAUCAACCGAGAUUCCCCCAGUAGCGGCGAGCGAACGGGGAGGAGCCCAGAGCCUGAAUCAGUGUGUGUGUUAGUGGAAGCGUCUGGAAAGGCGCGCGAUACAGGGUGACAGCCCCGUACACAAAAAUGCACAUGCUGUGAGCUCGAUGAGUAGGGCGGGACACGUGGUAUCCUGUCUGAAUAUGGGGGGACCAUCCUCCAAGGCUAAAUACUCCUGACUGACCGAUAGUGAACCAGUACCGUGAGGGAAAGGCGAAAAGAACCCCGGCGAGGGGAGUGAAAAAGAACCUGAAACCGUGUACGUACAAGCAGUGGGAGCACGCUUAGGCGUGUGACUGCGUACCUUUUGUAUAAUGGGUCAGCGACUUAUAUUCUGUAGCAAGGUUAACCGAAUAGGGGAGCCGAAGGGAAACCGAGUCUUAACUGGGCGUUAAGUUGCAGGGUAUAGACCCGAAACCCGGUGAUCUAGCCAUGGGCAGGUUGAAGGUUGGGUAACACUAACUGGAGGACCGAACCGACUAAUGUUGAAAAAUUAGCGGAUGACUUGUGGCUGGGGGUGAAAGGCCAAUCAAACCGGGAGAUAGCUGGUUCUCCCCGAAAGCUAUUUAGGUAGCGCCUCGUGAAUUCAUCUCCGGGGGUAGAGCACUGUUUCGGCAAGGGGGUCAUCCCGACUUACCAACCCGAUGCAAACUGCGAAUACCGGAGAAUGUUAUCACGGGAGACACACGGCGGGUGCUAACGUCCGUCGUGAAGAGGGAAACAACCCAGACCGCCAGCUAAGGUCCCAAAGUCAUGGUUAAGUGGGAAACGAUGUGGGAAGGCCCAGACAGCCAGGAUGUUGGCUUAGAAGCAGCCAUCAUUUAAAGAAAGCGUAAUAGCUCACUGGUCGAGUCGGCCUGCGCGGAAGAUGUAACGGGGCUAAACCAUGCACCGAAGCUGCGGCAGCGACGCUGAUGCGUUGUUGGGUAGGGGAGCGUUCUGUAAGCCUGUGAAGGUGUGCUGUGAGGCAUGCUGGAGGUAUCAGAAGUGCGAAUGCUGACAUAAGUAACGAUAAAGCGGGUGAAAAGCCCGCUCGCCGGAAGACCAAGGGUUCCUGUCCAACGUUAAUCGGGGCAGGGUGAGUCGACCCCUAAGGCGAGGCCGAAAGGCGUAGUCGAUGGGAAACAGGUUAAUAUUCCUGUACUUGGUGUUACUGCGAAGGGGGGACGGAGAAGGCUAUGUUGGCCGGGCGACGGUUGUCCCGGUUUAAGCGUGUAGGCUGGUUUUCCAGGCAAAUCCGGAAAAUCAAGGCUGAGGCGUGAUGACGAGGCACUACGGUGCUGAAGCAACAAAUGCCCUGCUUCCAGGAAAAGCCUCUAAGCAUCAGGUAACAUCAAAUCGUACCCCAAACCGACACAGGUGGUCAGGUAGAGAAUACCAAGGCGCUUGAGAGAACUCGGGUGAAGGAACUAGGCAAAAUGGUGCCGUAACUUCGGGAGAAGGCACGCUGAUAUGUAGGUGAAGUCCCUCGCGGAUGGAGCUGAAAUCAGUCGAAGAUACCAGCUGGCUGCAACUGUUUAUUAAAAACACAGCACUGUGCAAACACGAAAGUGGACGUAUACGGUGUGACGCCUGCCCGGUGCCGGAAGGUUAAUUGAUGGGGUCAGCGCAAGCGAAGCUCUUGAUCGAAGCCCCGGUAAACGGCGGCCGUAACUAUAACGGUCCUAAGGUAGCGAAAUUCCUUGUCGGGUAAGUUCCGACCUGCACGAAUGGCGUAAUGAUGGCCAGGCUGUCUCCACCCGAGACUCAGUGAAAUUGAACUCGCUGUGAAGAUGCAGUGUACCCGCGGCAAGACGGAAAGACCCCGUGAACCUUUACUAUAGCUUGACACUGAACAUUGAGCCUUGAUGUGUAGGAUAGGUGGGAGGCUUUGAAGUGUGG